rnacentral:lncRNA from 1 species
GUUCUCCUAUUUAUUUGUAUUGUAGUCCUGUAAUAUUAUGUUGUCAUUUCAAUGUUAUAUUUAACAUAACCAUUUAAGAGGUUUGGCAUGCCACAAAACCAGGAUCAACCCACAUUUUUUUCCUUUAAAAAUUUCCUGUACCAAGUCAGGAAGAUGGCCAUUGUUAUAUUAUUUUUCGUUUCUGUGUGUGUUACAUUUUAACAUUGCGUCGUUUGUUUUCUCUUAUUUUUGAGUGUAAAUUUACAUUGCGAUAAGACGUGUCACGGUACUUGUUUAUCCCAAAUUUAUGUAUUUGGUUUUGAUGUUAUGCUUGUUAUUC